CCUACGGGAGGCAGUAGUGAGGAAUAUUGGUCAAUGGCCGGAAGGCUGAACCAGCCAUGCCGCGUGAAGGUCAGUGCCCUAUGGGCGUUAAACUUCUUUUGUGCGGGAGCAAUAAUGGUCACGUGUGGCCAGACGAGAGUACCGUACGAAUAAGCAUCGGCUAACUCCGUGCCAGCAGCCGCGGUAAUACGGGGGAUGCAAGCGUUAUCCGGAUUUUUUGGGUUUAAAGGGUGCGUAGGCUGUGAGGUAAGUCAGCGGUGAAAUGCCCCCGCUCAAAGGGGUGAAGUGCCAUUGAUACUGGCUUGCUGGAGUGCGGAUGAGGUGGGAGGAAUGUGUGGUGUAGCGGUGAAAUGCAUAGAUAUCACACAGAACACCGAUUGCGAAGGCAUCUCACGAAUCCGCGAUUGACGCUGAUGCACGAAAGCGUGGGUAUCAAACAGGAUUAGAUACCCCAGUAGUC
rnacentral:rRNA from 1 species